rnacentral:lncRNA from 1 species
CUGGUCUGGAAAAGUUAGAGGAGAAACACGAUCAGGCUGUUUUCUUCGGUCACACGCCGCCCUCAGCAUUGUCUCGGGCUCUCCAAGAAGCUUCAUCCCAACCAGCAAACAUACACAAUACCAACUGUCAUUCUGCAACUACAAAACAGCACAGCCUGGAAAGUUCUCCGGUGUUUCCAGCAUGGAUUAGUCACCCUUCUGUCUUCUCUACAACACCAUCCUCCUGCAAAUGCCUCAGUGCAAUCGUUAGCAGCAUGCUGACAAGUGGAGAAAAUGUCUUUUGUCUUGCAGGUAAGUCUUUAACCUUUACAUCCAAAAAUGACUCCUUCCACCCACUGGCUUCCUGGAGACAAACAACCCUUAAAUCUUCUACGGCUUUAAGUAGGUUUAAAUUCCAGUGCAAACUUGUGUCUAGCUGUUCUGAUUCUUCAGAAUCAGUCAGUACCCACAAUUAAAGCCUUAAGAAAUGACCUAGUUCUCUUAAUCUCACAGUCCCAUGGGUAAAUAAGCAAUAGUUAAUCAGAGAGCUGAGAAAACUAAGGUUCAAAGGUCAGCAGCCUGCAU